AACAGAGUUCCUGUGAGUUGUUGGGAACACUGCUUAUCGAAACGUCGUCUGCAGUAGUAAAUGUUUGCGUGGACGUUAUGGGAUUUAGCUUCAGCGUAUACAAAUACUGUUGAUAUUUUACAUAGCGUGAUGAUUAUGAAAGAAAUUGGAUUAACAAGCAAGAUUCAAAGGAGGCUACCGUUCAUCACAGGUUUAUUUAGUCAGUGUGAGAGGGCCACAGGAAUGCUCAACAGACUGCAGUAGGAGAGACUAGAAGAAAGGUGUUGUGUAUCGAGGACGGCCUUACAAAUAAAAUUCUGAGCACCCAAUUUCCAAAAUUGUCUGAAGAUGCCUUUCAAUAUAGACAAAAUGUGUCACAAAUGAAGAACUAACGAGUUCAUCUUUGUUGAACCCAUGACCGAAUUCCCUAUGUAACAUCACCAUGGUUGUUGUAUCAGUGCCACAGAGUUUGGGAAUGGAGUGGAAUAACAUCUGUGCUAAUAUGUAUACGUGGGCACUGUCCUUUAUUGUAGAUAAUCAUAAUACUGAAAUUUUUAUUCAAGAAUUUCAAUAGGUAGGUGACCCUAUGGGUAUAGUACGUGAAGAAAACCUCAUUCAUGUGAGCCAUUUCUACAGGGUGUUAAUAUUACUUUUCCAACUACAGUGUGUCCACUCAGUGAGAAGCCUGUGCAAGAAGAAUUUCGUAUUUUGAUAUUAACAUGUGAAUAUUGUAAUUGUGUAAUUUAGCACUGUCAUGUUGGAGAGUUACAAUUAGCAUAAGAAUAGUCAAUAGAGCGAGUUAAGGUGUGGAUCAAGCUUUCUGUGUGUUGGAGUUCACCUUGGAUAUGUUGCAGGAAUGGCUGAUGCCUCAAAUGCAAACGGACUCUCCAUUCAUUAUUCAGCAGGAUGAGGCUCCACCACAUUUUCAUCGUGAAGUUCGUGGGUACCUGAACAUGGAGGUGCCGCAUCGAUGGAUUGGCUGUGCUACAGAAGGGGGCAGCUGUUUCAUGAAAUGGCCUUCCCCAAUCACCAGAUCUCACUCAUGUGACUUUUUUCUGUGGGUACACAAAAAUCUGGUGUAUUUACCGCCUCUACUAUGUGAUGUAGAAGAGCUUCAGAAGAGAAUACAGGAAGCAACUGUCACAGUCGACAAUGCCAUGCUGGGACAGGUAUGGCAAGAAUUAUCAUAUUGAUGUCUGCCGGGUCCUCACUCAUGGUUCGCAUAUCGAAUGUUUGUAAAAAAAAAAAACUUUGUGAGUAUCUCUUCAAAAUGCAAUAUGUAUGGCAUCUGUACAAUGUUUAGUUCUUGUGCAAUAAAUAAUUG